GAAUGCGGCAUGCUAUACAUGCAAGUCGAGCGGACCAGAAAUCGGAGCUUGCUCUGGUUUGGUCAGCGGCGGACGGGUGAGUAACACGUGGGCAACCUGCCCGCAAGACCGGGAUAACUCCGGGAAACCGGAGCUAAUACCGGAUAACACCGAAGACCGCAUGGUCUUUGGUUGAAAGGCGGCCUUUGGCUGUCACUUGCGGAUGGGCCCGCGGCGCAUUAGCUAGUUGGUGAGGUAACGGCUCACCAAGGCGACGAUGCGUAGCCGGCCUGAGAGGGUGACCGGCCACACUGGGACUGAGACACGGCCCAGACUCCUACGGGAGGCAGCAGUAGGGAAUCUUCCGCAAUGGGCGAAAGCCUGACGGAGCGACGCCGCGUGAGCGAAGAAGGCCUUCGGGUCGUAAAGCUCUGUUGUGAGGGACGAAGGAGCGCCGUUCGAAGAGGGCGGCGCGGUGACGGUACCUCACGAGGAAGCCCCGGCUAACUACGUGCCAGCAGCCGCGGUAAUACGUAGGGGGCGAGCGUUGUCCGGAAUUAUUGGGCGUAAAGCGCGCGCAGGCGGUUCCUUAAGUCUGAUGUGAAAGCCCACGGCUCAACCGUGGAGGGUCAUUGGAAACUGGGGGACUUGAGUGCAGGAG
rnacentral:rRNA from 1 species